GUGUGUUUGCAUGCUAGGCAAUGUGGUGUUAAGGUGUGUACCUGAGAUCGUGUACCUACCCGAAGUCUAAAUCCGAUUGUGGCUUUGGAUUGGUUCCAUAGCGGGUGAAAGUCCCGUGCGGGUAGGACUAUUGUAAUCACACGGUCUUCAGAUGUGCAUGCUUUCGAGUCGGAUUGCUUGAGAAUGCAGUCCAAAGUGGGUGGUAAACUCCAUCCAAGGCUAAAUACUGGCACGAGUCCGAUAGUAGACAAGUACCAUGAGGGAAAGUUGAAAAGUACUCUGAAGAGAGAGUAAAUAAUACGUGAAGCCGAUUGCAGGGAAGCCGGUGGAGUCAAGCUUCGUGCUUGGGGGAUUGAUGCUGGGAGCAGGUGUGUGAAUUGGAUGCGUGAGUGGUCAACUUGGAAUAAGUUGGGCGUGUUCUGAAUGCGCUUCAAGUCAUUCCGGGUAGUGUGUUUUGGGCCAUUCUCGCUUUCCUACUCUCAGUGUUGUAUUCCCCGCUGCACAGGCCACAGUCGAUAGGUGCAUGCGGUAUGAAGACCUAACUGUGCUUCGGCGGGCGCAAGCUCUCCGGGUGCAGGAAGGCAGGUGCUGUCUUCAGGCCUYGUGUCUGUUGAUAGUUGUUUUGGUUUUGACCGGCUGGUUUUCAUA
rnacentral:rRNA from 1 species